AAUAUUGCACAAUGGAGGAAACUCUGAUGUAGCGACGCCGCUUGAACGAAGAAGGCUUUCGAUUCGAAAAGUUCUGUUCUAGGGGACGAAAAUGACGGUACCCUAGGAGGAAGCCCCGGCCAACUACGUGCCAGCAGCCGCGGUAAUACGUAGGGGGCAAGCGUUGUCCGGAUUUAUUGGGCGUAAAGGGUUCGCAGGCGGCCUUUUAAGUCAGAUGUGAAAGACUACAGCUCAACUGUGGUAAGCAUUUGAAACUGAAAGGCUUGAGUUAAGGAGAGGAAAGUGGAAUUCCUAGUGUAGCGGUGAAAUGCGUAGAUAUUAGGAGGAAUACCAGUGGCGAAGGCGACUACCUGGACUGAUACUGACACUGAGGUGCGAAAGCGUGGGGAGCAAACAGG
rnacentral:rRNA from 1 species